rnacentral:rRNA from 1 species
AGUAACGCGUGGGUAACCGUGCCUUAUACAGGGGGAGUAACAGUUAGAAAUGACUGCUAAUACCGCAUAAGCGCACAGCUUCGCAUGAAGCAGUGUGAAAAACUCCGGUGGUGUGAGAUGGACCCGCGUCUGAUUAGCUAGUUGGUAAGGUAACGGCUUACCAAGGCGGCGAUCAGUAGCCGACCUGAGAGGGUGACCGGCCACAUUGGGACUGAGACACGGCCCAAACUCCUACGGGAGGCAGCAUG